rnacentral:lncRNA from 1 species
ACCGAAAAUAUAAUAUAACAAUUAUUAACAAGCCAACAAAGUGGCACAUAAUUGCAGCCAACAAAGUGGCACAUAAAUGCCUCUUACAAGCCAAAAAUAAGCCAUCAAUCAUGACCACCCAUAAAUGGUACAAAAUUAGCCAUCAAUAGAUGCACAAUUAACGUACGAACUCAUUAAAUGACAAUCAAGACAAUUUCAAAAAAAUUCAAAUAAUUUUCAUAAAUACAAACGAAUCAACUUUAAAGUGAUAAAGGAAAUUUUAAUUAAGAAAAUUAAA